rnacentral:rRNA from 1 species
UACGUAGGGUGCAAGCGUUAAUCGGAAUUACUGGGCGUAAAGCGUGCGCAGGCGGUUUUGUAAGUCUGUCGUGAAAUCCCCGGGCUCAACCUGGGAAUUGCGAUGGAGACCGCAAGGCUAGAAUCUGGCAGAGGGGGGUAGAAUUCCACGUGUAGCAGUGAAAUGCGUAGAGAUGUGGAGGAACACCGAUGGCGAAGGCAGCCCCCUGGGUCAAGAUUGACGCUCAUGCACGAAAGCGUGGGGAGCAAACAGG